rnacentral:rRNA from 1 species
GAUGAACGCUGGCGGCGUGCCUAAUACAUGCAAGUCGAGCGAACAGAUAAGGAGCUUGCUCCUUUGACGUUAGCGGCGGACGGGUGAGUUACACGUGGAUAACCUACCUAUAAGACUGGGAUAACUUCGGGAAACCGGAGCUAAUACCGGAUAACAUAUUGAACCGCAUGGUUCAAUAGUGAAAGGCGGCUUUGCUGUCACUUAUAGAUGGAUCCGCGCCGUAUUAGCUAGUUGGUAAGGUAACGGCUUACCAAGGCAACGAUACGUAGCCGACCUGAGAGGGUGAUCAGCCACACUGGAACUGAGACACGGUCCAGACUCCUACGGGAGGCAGCAGUAGGGAAUCUUGCGCAAUGGGCGAAAGCCUGACGGAGCAACGCCGCGUGAGUGAUGAAGGUCUUCGGAUCGUAAAACUCUGUUAUCAGGGAAGAACAAAUGUGUAAGUAACUGUGCACAUCUUGACGGUACCUGAUCAGAAAGCCACGGCUAACUACGUG